rnacentral:ncRNA from 1 species
UAAAGGUUUGGUCCUAGCCCUUCUAUUAGCCAUCAGUAGGAUUACACAUGCAAGUAUCAGCACCCCGGUGAAGAUGCCCUCUUAAUCACCAACGAUAAAGAGGAGCGGGUAUCAAGCACACUAUACAGUAGCUAAAGACACCUUGCCAAGCCACACCCCCACGGGAUACAGCAGUGACAAAAAUUAAGCCAUGAACGAAAGUUCGACUAAGCCAUACUAGCCUAUAGGGUUGGUAAAUUUCGUGCCAGCCACCGCGGUCAUACGAUUAACCCAAGUUAAUAGACAUACGGCGUAAAACGUGUUAAGGAAAUUACCCACACAAUAAAGUUAAAUCUUGGGCUAUGCUGUAGAAAGCUUUAGCCCAGACAAAAAUAAACCACGAAAGUGACUUUAAACGAUCCGACUACACGAUAGCUAAGACACAAACUGGGAUUAGAUACCCCACUAUGCUUAGCCCUAAACCUAAGCAGCUAAAUAACGAUGCUACUCGCCAGAGUACUACUAGCAACAGCUUAAAACUCAAAGGACUUGGCGGUGCUUUAUAUCCCUCUAGAGGAGCCUGUUCUGUAAUCGAUAAACCCCGAUAAACCUCACCAACUCUUGCUAAUACAGCCUAUAUACCGCCAUCUUCAGCAAACCCUAAAAAGGAAUUAAAGUAAGCAAAAUCAUAAAACAUAAAAACGUUAGGUCAAGGUGUAGCCUAUGAGUUGGAAAGAAAUGGGCUACAUUUUCUAGUAUAGAACAUCGACGAAAAUUUUCGUGAAACCGGAAAUAGAAGGAGGAUUUAGUAGUAAAUUAAGAACAGAGAGCUUAGUUGAAUUAGGCCAUGAAGCACGCACACACCGCCCGUCACCCUCCUCAAGUAUAAAGAUACAAUCCCCAAUCCUAUUAAUAAAUGUACACACACAUGAGAGGAGAUAAGUCGUAACAAGGUAAGCGUACUGGAAGGGGCGCUUG